rnacentral:lncRNA from 1 species
ACACCGAAAUUAAAAACUACUAUAGAUUACUGUAUGGCUUUCAACAAUGCAAAAAAGAGUAAACCGCAAAGUAAUCUAGAACAGGCCGCGAAAUAACAAAUGUAAAACUAUUCAAAUGAAUAAAUUCACGGCGUACUGUACGUACCAAAUAAAUAACGAAAAAACGAAAAAAAAAAAUAUUUAACACAUCAAAAAGUAAAUUCACAAAAAUAUUGGAGCGACAACCACUAAAUUGCAGGCUUCUGACUUGUGAUAGGCACAUACAGAAUGUAGCGGGGUUAA